CCUACGGGUGGCAGCAGUGAGGAAUAUUGGUCAAUGGGAGAGAUCCUGAACCAGCCAAGCCGCGUGAGGGAAGACGGCCCUAUGGGUUGUAAACCUCUUUUGUCGGAGAACAAAACCCGGGACGUGUCCCGGACUGCGUGUAUCCGAAGAAAAAGCAUCGGCUAACUCCGUGCCAGCAGCCGCGGUAAUACGGGGGAUGCGAGCGUUAUCCGGAUUUAUUGGGUUUAAAGGGUGCGUAGGCGGUCCGUUACGUCAGCGGUAAAAUGGCGGGGCUCAACCCCGUCGAGCCGUGGAACCUGGCAGACGUGAGGUGGCGAGAGGUACGCGGAAUGCGCGGUGUAGCGGUGGAAUGCAUAGAUAUCGCGCAGAACGCCGAUGGCGAGGGCAGCGUACCGGCGCCAGACUGACGCUGAGGCACGAAGGCGUGGGGAUCGAACAGGAUUAGAUACCCGGGUAGUC
rnacentral:rRNA from 1 species